rnacentral:rRNA from 1 species
UACGGAGGGUGCGAGCGUUGUUCGGAAUCACUGGGCGUAAAGGGCGUGUAGGCGGUCCGCUAAGUCUGAUGUGAAAGCCCGGGGCUCACCCCCGGAAGUGCAUUGGAAACUGGCGGACUCGAGUCCCGGAGAGGAGAGUGGAAUUCCUGGUGUAGCGGUGAAAUGCGUAGAUAUCGUGAGGAAGACCAGUGGCGAAGGCGGAUCUCUGGACAGUUCCUGACGCUGAGGCGCGAAGGCCAGGGGAGCAAACGGG